CCUACGGGAGGCUGCAGUGGGGGAUAUUGCACAAUGGGGGAAACCCUGAUGCAGCGACGCCGCGUGGGUGAAGAAGUAUUUCGGUAUGUAAAGCCCUAUCAGCAGGGAAGAAAGACGACGGUACCUGACUAAGAAGCCCCGGCUAACUACGUGCCAGCAGCCGCGGUAAUACGUAGGGGGCGAGCGUUAUCCGGAUUCACUGGGUGUAAAGGGAGCGUAGACGGCCGUGCAAGCCAGGAGUGAAAGCCCGGGGCCCAACCCCGGGACUGCUCUUGGAACUGUGCGGCUGGAGUGCGGGAGGGGCAGGCGGAAUUCCUGGUGUAGCGGUGAAAUGCGUAGAUAUCAGGAGGAACACCGGCGGCGAAGGCGGCCUGCUGGACCGCGACUGACGUUGAGGCUCGAAAGCGUGGGGAGCGAACAGGAUUAGAUACCCGGGUAGUC
rnacentral:rRNA from 1 species